rnacentral:rRNA from 1 species
AUUGAACGCUGGCGGCAGGCUUAACACAUGCAAGUCGAACGAGAGGCGGACGGGUGAGCAAUGCGUGGGAAUCUAGCUUAUGGAGCGGGAUUACUACGGGAAACUGUAGCUAAUACCGCGCAACAUAGGAUGAGCCCAAGUGGGAUUAGGGAGUGGGUGAGGGAAAGGCUAACCAAGCCGACGAUCACUAGCUGGGCUGGGAGGAUUACCAGCCACACUGGGAAUUAGACACGGCCCAGACUCCUACGGGAGGCAGCGGUGGGGAAAAUUGCUCAAAGGGGGAAACCUGACGCAGCAAUGCCGCGUGGAUGAAGAAGGCCUUCGGGUUGUAAAGUUCUUUCGGUAGGGAGGAGUUAACUACAGAAGAAGCACCGGCUAACUCCGUGCCAGCCGCCGCGGUAAUUC